AAAGCUGGACACUUAACAACUGAGCCACCCAGGCGCCCCUCGGCUUGAAAACAAGGUCCACAGGGCACAGGACAGAAGAAGGUUGACUGCUUGGACCAGAGCCUCCCCUGCCCAUGAUGCUGCUCGUGUUAGAAUUAUCCAGGAGGGAGACAUAAACCUCUAUCUCCUUUACGGUGUUGCAUUGCUGGGUCUGUUGCAACGGCUCAGGGGCACGCUCAGAUCCUGGAUCUCACGAGCUGUGAGAUCAGCCCU